GAAGUAAAAGUCGUAACAAGGUUUCCGUAGGUGAACUGCGGAAGGAUCAUUAAAAAUUCUGCAUUGUUUGGUGGAAACAAUAAUCAUCCUACCUUUGUGAAUUUGUUGUUUGUAUAAUUUUUAAAGAAAGAUUAUUUACUGUCUAUCCUGGAUAGUAAAGUUGGAAGGAGUAAUCUAGAAAACUUUGCUUUCAGGGAAUAGUAUGUAAUAAUUUUUCAUUUAAAGACUUUUUUUAAAUUAACUUUUGUAUUCAUUGUCUAAAUUAUUUUUAAAUAAUUUAAAAACAACUUUUGACAAUGGAUCUCUGGUUCUCGCAACGAUGAAGACGCAGCAAAAUGCGAUAAGUAGUGUGAAUUGCAGAAUACGUGAAUCAUCAAAUCUUCGAACGCAUAUUGCACUUUUUUAGUUUACUAAAAAGUAUGUCUGUUUGAGUAUCAGUAAAUAUUCUCAAUAAACUUUUUGUUUAUGUUAUGAGUGUUUUACAACGAUACAAGUUGUUUCACUUUAAAUUGACUUUAUAUAACCUAUCCAUUUAGGUCAAUUUUUAAAUUGGAUAAAUUUUCCUGUAAAAGGAAUAACUGACAGUUUAAAGAAGAUCUAAAAGGUUUUCUUAAAGGAAUUUAAUAACUAACUUGAUCUCAAAUCAGAUAGAGUACCCGCUGAACUUAAGCAUAUAAUAGCGGAGGAAAAGAACUAACAAGGAUUCCCUAGUAACGGCGAGUGAAGCGGGAAGAGCUCAAAUUUGAAAUCUCAAGGGUUUCCUUGAGAAUUGUAGUUUAUAGAAGUGUUUCUGUUAGAGAGGUGGUAAAGUUCUUGAAUAGGAUAUAGAGGGUGAGAAUCCCGUAUUUGAUCACUUCUACAACGUUGUGAUAACUUUCAACGAGUCGGAUUGUUUGGGAAUGCAGUCAAAUGGGUGGUAAUUCAUCUAGCAAUAUUGGCGAGAGACGAUGCGACAAGUACGUGAGGGAAAGAUGAAAAGAAUUUGAAAAGAGAGUUAAACAGUAGUGAAAUUGUCAAGGGAAGCGUUUGACACAGUGUGUGUUUUUUCGGAAAAUCAAUUAGAUGCGGGAUUCAAGUUUCAUGACUUAAAAGCUUGUUUUUUCCUUUCCUGUCUUUCUUAAUGCACUUUCGGUACAAGUAACAUCAAUUCUUUUGUUGUAAAGGUUAAGAGGAAGGUGGCUUUAAUUCGGUAAGUGUUUAUGCUUUUAACUCUGCAAUCGGAGAGAUUGAGGUCUGCGCGUGAAUCUUGGGGCUAGAUACGUUUGUGCUAAGUUAUAGCUUUCAUAGACAGUUGUUGACUAUGUUUAGUCUUGUAGCUUACUCGCAGAGCUAUUUUACCUAGUUAGGAGUUGA
rnacentral:misc_RNA from 1 species